rnacentral:sRNA from 1 species
UUCUAGCCCCGAUAAAAACGGCAUCCUUUUGUGGAGCGAAGCGGAACAAAAGAUAUAGUGGAUAGCGGGAAAAAGC